UACGUAGGGGGCGAGCGUUGUCCGGAUUUAUUGGGCGUAAAGAGCUCGUAGGCGGUUCGAUAAGUCGGACGUGAAAUCUCCACGCUCAACGUGGAGGGGCCGUUCGAUACUGUCGUGACUCGAGUCCGGUAGGGGAGUGUGGAAUUCCCGGUGUAGCGGUGAAAUGCGCAGAGAUCGGGAGGAACACCCGUAGCGAAGGCGGCUCUCUGGGCCGGUACUGACGCUGAGGAGCGAAAGCGUGGGGAGCAAACAGG
rnacentral:rRNA from 1 species